GGUCUCAAAGCAUCUCCUCUUUUCAAGUACUGUUUGGCUCAGUACAAGUAGCCUGGUCUCAUUGGCAUGGUCACUUUAAGAGAGAAGCUUCUCUUGGAGGGAGAUUAAGGAGGACCAGCUCUCUCUCCAAGAAUGUAGGACAGGGCUAGGCAGAACAGAGCAGAGAAGAAAUAAGCCGACUCGUUGGAUUCCAGACUUUCGGGGCUGCCUUUGCCUUUCCCUAGCCCUGGAAGCAGCACCUGGACAUAUCAGCUGAGCUCAGGCUCCCUGAACCUACCCCUGAAUAGGAAACAGGAGUUAUGUUCUCUCCCGCUACCCUGCUCCCACUCUGGACAUCAUCUCUCACCGGCUUCCUGGGCAGCUUCCUCUGCCUGUUUCUUGAAGUCCUGGAAACUCUUGCUGGCCAUCUCGAAGGGGCUGGCUGAUUGGGCUGCAGUGGGCGAGAUUGGGUGGGGUCCGGGCCAGGAUCGUCGGGAGGAACGUGCCUGUUGAGAUGCUUCCCAGCUCUCUCUUGAUACAGCUGCUACGGAGGUUCAAGCCUUAUGCAGCCAAAGGGCCAGCCCACAUCCACAGGGAGUGGGGGAGGGCGGGGCAGGUGGCAUAGCUUGCCAAGGUUCCCAGCUCUAGCCCUGGAGGAAGGGAUUGUCGGUGGGUAUUUUUCCAGACUGGCAGUUCUUUUCAAUGUAAUCUGUAUUGGCCUGCCCCUAAAAGCAUCCACCCCAUUUUUCUACCUCUUCCUUAUCUGCUGUUUGGAUAAUAGCCUGCUACAGACUGUAAAACCUGAGAUUCUCCCCCGAGAGGAAUGAAGAGGAGAGUUGGCAAGCAAAGAUGAAUGGAAUUCCUGGGGUCAGGACAGAACACACUGAUGCCUGACCAGAUGAGGACUACAUGGGGCUUUGGGGAUCCAGUGGUUUGGACUGGGUUUGGGGCAGGCUGUUCUGCUAACUUAAGAGCUGUGUGACCUUAUGCAUGACACUUAAUUUCUCUGAUCCUCAGUUUCCUCCCUUGUAAAAAAAAAAAAAGGUGACGUACUAGGUGAUCAGUAAGGUCACUUCUGGUUCUAAAUCCUACAAUCCUAUGAAAUCAUACAAAUUUUCAAGUGAGUCCUAUGUCCAGAUUAGGUUUAACUCAAAGCCAAAUCCUGAGCUGGACGGAUAUCAUGACAGAGGGGCUUGUAAAGAGAAGCUCUGACAUCAGCCUGUCUGCUGUCUUUGAACAGAGCAUUCCAGGCCUGGGAUUU
rnacentral:lncRNA from 1 species